rnacentral:misc_RNA from 1 species
GACAAAUUAGGGCAAGAAAAACAUGCCAUUGUCAUUUGUUAGGUUUAAGACCUCCAGUAUCCAUUUAAUCUAUCAUUCAUACAUAAACAGAAGGGCAUGUUUAGUUAUAAAAGAAUACAGUUUGUAUUUGAUAAACUACUGAAAAUAAAUAACCCAAUUAAGUACUACUGCCCUAAAUUUCCAUGCACUUCUCUGGAGUUUGCCACUUUCAUGAAGAGGUCAUACCAAGACUCAUUAUCAUUGACAUUUAUAGUAUUGAAACCGUUGAUGGCUUCUACAGUUGCCAGCGGUUCCUGGGAUUGCUCUUGUGGGAAGACUGGUGCAUGGCCAAGAUAAUGAUUUCUUUGAUGGGUAGGAAAAUUCUCAGGUUGCUGUGAUGAUAUUGCAUUGUUGAUCACUGCCCUUUUUGAUGUUUUGGUGCAGUUACCAGCUGAGCUGCUUGUGCUUGGGUUGGCUUGCUUCUCCUCAACUCUCUUCUUUAUGUGUGUGUGCCAGUAAUUCUUUACCUCAUUAUCUGUUCUUCCUGGCAAUUUUGCAGCAAUUGCAGACCAUCUGAGGAUCAAAAGAAAAUUGCACAAAAUUUUCUUGGUCUUGUACAAGCAAGCAAGAAAGAAUAUUAAAGAAAAGUAUAUGGCAAACGAAAUUAUACAUACAAUAUAUACCUGUUCCCAAGAAUCUGAUGUACCUUAAUGAUAGUUUCUUCUUCUUCACUGCUGAAGUUUCCUCGUUUAAUACCUGGCCUUAGGUAAUUUAUCCACCUAAGCCUACAGCUCUUUCCACACCUUAAUAAACCUAUAAAAAAGAAAAGACGAAAGGCCUAUGAAGAAUUUCAAGUCUGAAAACCCCAAAACUCAAAAUCUGUGUAUAUAAUCCUACCUGCUUGCUUGGGGAGUGCUCGCCAAUUGUUAUGCCCAAAACGUUGGAUGUAAGAUACCAAGAUAUGAUCUUCUUCAGGCGUCCAUGGUCCCUUCUUCAACCCCAUCUUUUCACAACAAGGAACCCUCAACAUUUUUGUACUUUCCGAUAUGCUUCUUUGUUUCUCCUUUCAAAUUAAAGCUCAAAACUUUCUUCUAACGAG